AAUGGAAUUGAAAAAAAUUCACAAUAAAUCUUAAAAGAAUCCUUAAGAAGCCUUAAAAAAUAUUAGAAUAAUCACAAAUAUAUCUUAAAUAAAUGUCAACCAAGUUCUAAUUUAACUCUAGUUGAAAUCCUAAUAGACUUCAAUCAAAUCCUAAACAAAUCUUAAAUCCUAUAUCUUAAAUCAAAUCCUAAAUCAAAUCCUAGAUCCUAAAUUAAAUUCUUAUUUAAACCUUAGAAAAAUCCUAAAUUCUAAAUCAAAUCCUAAAUCAAAUCCCAAAUCAAAUCCUAAAUCAAAUCCUAAAUCCCAAAUCAAACCCUAAAUCAAAUCUUAAUUCAAAUCCUAAAUCUUAAAUCAAAUCCUAGAUCAAAUUCUAGAUCAUAAAUCAAAUCCUAGAUCAAAUUCUAGAUCCUAAAUCAAAUCCUAAAUUGAAUCCUAGACAAACUUUAAAUCCUAAACCAAAUCCUAAAUCAAACCCUAGACAAAUCCUAAAUCCUAAAUCCUAAACAAAAUCGUAGAUCAAACCUAGAUCCUAAACCAAAUCCUAAUCCUACUCAAUCUAAUACUAGUACAAUUUAGAAUCUUAAUAUCUAUUAAUUGAACCAUUGAUCUUGCAUAAAAAUUUAUAUACCAAAAAUUUGAAGAUAAUUUCACUUACCAAUUAGAAGAAAAUCUUUAAAAUCUGCUCGGGUGUUGGCUAGCCUCCUACUCCAAUUGAAUGUUGAACUCCUAGUACCAAUAUUUUCUUACAAAAUCAUUUAAUUGUCUUUAAAUUUCACAUGUAUAUAGAAAAUCAAGUCUUUUAUCUUUAAACACAAAUUAUACCUCAAUCAAACUCGUAGAUUGCUAAAGAACUUAGAAAAUCUAAUUGUCUUUUAAAAUCCAAUUUUUGAGACCUCAAUCUACUUGAAAAUCAAUAACCUUCACUUUAGCUAUUUGAUCAAGCUCAAACUUAUAGCAUAUAAUUAAGACAACUAUUCUCAUAAGUCCUCAAAAUUUGAACUGUAGAUCUACUACCAAACUUAAGAAAUUCUUCAAAAUGUAAUAAUAUUUUUAUCUUACAAAUUCCAGAGUCACCCAAACCAACUAUAACUUUGCAAAGCUCUUAUAAAAUUAUUACAUACUCAAAUCACUCAAAAAUAAUGCUUAAAAAA
rnacentral:lncRNA from 1 species